rnacentral:rRNA from 1 species
CGGGUGAGUAAUGUCUGGGAAACUGCCUGAUGGAGGGGGAUAACUACUGGAAACGGUAGCUAAUACCGCAUAACGUCGCAAGACCAAAGAGGGGGACCUCCGGGCCUCGCGCCAUCAGAUGAACUCAUAUGGGAUUAGCUAGUAGGUGAGGUAACGGCUUACCUAGGCGACGAUCCCUAGCUGGUCUGAGAGGAUGAUCAGCCACACUGGGACUGAGACACGGCCCAG